ACAGACAGACAGAGAGAGGGAGAGAGAGACAGACAGACAGAGAGAGAGGGAGAGAGAGGUGGAGAUGAGAGAGACAGACAGACAGACAGAGAGAGGGAGAGAGAGACAGACAGACAGAGAGAGGGGGAGAGAGAGACAGACAGACAGAGAGAAGGGGAGAGAGAGGUGGAGAUGAGAGAGACAGACAGACAGAGAGAGGGGGAGAGAGAGACAGACAGACAGAGAGAGGGGGAGAGAGAGACAGACAGACAGAGAGAGGGGGAGAGAGAGGGGGAGAUGAGAGAGACAGACAGACAGAGAGAGGGGGAGAGAGAGACAGACAGACAGAGAGAAGGGGAGAGGUGGAGAUGAGAGAGACAGACAGACAGAGAGAGGGGGAGAGAGACAGACAGACAGAGAGAGGGAGAGAGAGACAGACAGACAGAGAGAGGGGGAGAGAGAGACAGACAGACAGAGAGAGGGGGAGAGAGAGGUGGAGAUGAGAGAGACAGACAAACAGACAGACAGAGAGAGGGAGAGAGAGACAGACAGACAGACAG
ensembl:lncRNA